rnacentral:misc_RNA from 1 species
UUUUUUUUUUUUUUGGAAAAAAAAAAAUUCAAUCUUUAUAUUUGAUCAAUACAAGACUAAAUAAAAAUCCAAUCAGGACCGAGAACCCCCUACAGUCCUAUUCUGGAUCAUAACCAGGUCUACUCAAAGCCAAUGUUACAUAGGUGUGAAGUACAACCAAGACUUUGAAACGUAUGAAAUUUGAUGAUUUCACUGUCCUUUUAAAUUUACAUUUUCUAUAGAGAAUUGCAAAAAAUGAAACUUGCUCUCUGAACUUUACCACAAAAUUUUGCAUAAGCAUAAAGCCUAAGUUAGACAACAGAUUCCAAUAAUCAACAAAAAAUUAGCUCGGUUAUAUCUGCGGCAACCAAAAAGAACCACGAAUUGCAACGAGUAUUAGAUGCAUCAGCUUAUGAAGGCUCUUUGUUCUUGAUGGCUAAAGCUGCUGCUCUGUACCAUGCAGCUGCAGCCAUAGCUCCAGGGUCUGGAACUGAUGCAAGGAUAUCUGUAGAGACAUAGGUAGAGCGGCCAGCCUGUGCCUGCAUGUGUCUGGUUGACUCAGCUCCAGCCAAUGCUGCUUCAGAUGAGAGAACAAAAGCAGUAAAAGGAUCAUCCCCAGCAUUUAACCUCUCCUGAAGGACUGCUGAUGCUGGAAUAAGUGCAUCUAACAAAGUGCGAUAGCCAGCACUAGCCCCAGCCAUACUUACUGACUGCGGCAAUUGAAGCUUCAAGUGCUUCAGCCCAUUGUUUUGACGUCACAGCUGAUUGUGAGUUUGAUUUCAGAUGUGCAUGAGCUGCCUUGCAAAAUAUAUU